rnacentral:rRNA from 1 species
AGAGUUUGAUCCUGGCUCAGGACGAACGCUGGCGGCAUGCCUAAUACAUGCAAGUCGUGCGCAGGAAGCAGACUGAAAUCUUCGGAUGGACGUUUGUGGAAUGAGCGGCGGAUGGGUGAGUAACACGUGGGCAACCUGCCUGUAAGAUCGGGAUAACUCCGGGAAACCGGUGCUAAUACCGGAUAAAACUUUUGAUCACCUGAUUAAGAGAUGAAAGACGGCUUCUAGCUGUCACUUACAGAUGGGCCCACGGCGCAUUAGCUAGUUGGUAAGAUAAAAGCUUACCAAGGCAACGAUGCGUAGCCGACCUGAGAGGGUGAUCGGCCACACUGGGACUGAGACACAGCCCAGACUCCCACGGGAGGCAGCAGUAGGGAAUCUUCCGCAAUGGACGCAAGUCUGACGGAGCAAUGCCGCGUGAGUGAUGAAGGUUUUCGGAUUGUAAAACUCUGUUGUUAGGGAAGAACAAGUACCGUUCAAAUAGGGCGGUACCUUGACGGUACCUAACCAGAAAGCCCCGGCUAACUACGUGCCAGCAGCCGCGGUAAUACGUAGGGGGCGAGCGUUGUCCGGAAUUAUUGGGCGUAAAGGGCGCGCAGGCGGUCUUCUAAGUCUGAUGUGAAAGCCCACGGCUUAACCGUGGAGGGUCAUUGGAAACUGGAGGACUUGAGUACAGAAGAGGAGAGUGGAAUUCCACGUGUAGCGGUGAAAUGCGUAGAGAUGUGGAGGAACACCAGUGGCGAAGGCGACUCUCUGGUCUGUAACUGACGCUGAGGCGCGAAAGCGUGGGGAGCGAACAGGAUUAGAUACCCUGGUAGUCCACGCCGUAAACGAUGAGUGCUAGGUGUUAGGGGGUUUCCGCCCCUUAGUGCUGCAGUUAACGCAUUAAGCACUCCGCCUGGGGAGUACGGCCGCAAGGCUGAAACUCAAAGGAAUUGACGG